CAUGUGCGCGAAGUAUGGUGGCUUCGGCCGAGAGGACGACCUAUUUGGGACGAUUGUGCGGCUUCGUGCUGCAUCUCAAUUGGACCUGAUAUCAGGCAAGAUUACCCGCUGAACUUAA
rnacentral:rRNA from 1 species